rnacentral:rRNA from 1 species
CCUACGGGUGGCAGCAGUGGGGGAUAUUGCACAAUGGGGGGAACCCUGAUGCAGCGACGCCGCGUGGGUGAAGGAGCGUUUCGGCGCGUAAAGCCCUAUCGGCAGGGAAGAAGGAGGACGGUACCUGACUAAGAAGCCCCGGCUAACUACGCGCCAGCAGCCGCGGUAAUACGGAGGGGGCAAGCGUGAUGCGGACUUACGGGGUGUAAAGGGGGCGCAGACGGCAGCGCAAGCCAGGAGUGAAAGCCCGGGGCCCAACCCGGGGACUGCACUUGGAACUGCGCGGCUGGAGUGCAGGAGGGGGAGGCAGAAGUCCAGGUGUAGCGGUGAAAUGCGUAGAGAUCAGGAGGAACACUGGUGGCGAAGGCGGCCUGCUGGACUACGACUGACGUUGAGGUCCGAAAGCGUGGGGAGCAAACAGGAUUAGAUACCCCGGUAGUC